rnacentral:rRNA from 1 species
GUGCCAGCAGCCGCGGUAAUACCGGCAGCCCGAGUGAUGGCCGAUCUUAUUGGGCCUAAAGCGUCCGUAGCUGGCCGCACGAGUCCGUCGGGAAAUCCGCCCGCUCAACGGGCGGCCGUCCGGCGGAACCUGUGUGGCUUGGGACCGGAAGGCUCGAAGGGUACGUUCGGGGUAGGAGUGAAAUCCCAUAAUCCCGCACGGACCACCGAUGGCGAAAGCACUUCGAGAAAACGGAUCCGACAGUGAGGGACGAAAGCCAGGGUCUCCAACCGGAUUAGAUACCCUUGUAGUCC